AUUUCCAUGCUUUGAUUGAUUUAAAUGAAAAACAGAAUGUUGUUUUAAUGUUGUGUAUGAAACCAUAAAAUUAUUAAUUUUUUCCAUUCUGACAAAAAUGGCUAAGAUGAUUUUAAUAACAUUUUGGGUAAAAAAACAACAACAAAACCAAACAGCUUUCAGAUCACAGAAUUGCCCAGCAUACAAAAGCCAGCCAUAAUGAUAUUUUUAAAGAAAUGCAUAAAGACACAAAAAUCCUACAGUUUCCACUGGAAGACUCAGCUUCAGCUGCACUGGGAAUACCACUGAAGUAAGCGUCCCCUGGAGAUUCCAUCACAUCAAAGCAAGGGGUAUGUAUACUUUAUUUGCUGUUUCUCCAGACACUGACAGAAGAGUGGGUUACUUAUCUCUCACACCCCAUAAAUACAGCCAGGGUCUUUUAUCUGCUGUUCCAGGACUUUACUGUCACCUCGCUGCCUCACUCACACUGUGGGAAGGAGAGGACCUUGAGAUCCCCUUUGGCCAACAAGAGGAGGACCAAGGCUUCAGCUGGCAAGCAGGGAGUGCAGGCAUCGUACCACACAAGAGUACAGCAGUGAGCUUGGCCAGCAAGCAGAGGAGGGGUUGAAAAGUGCUCCUUUAACUGCAAAAGAAAGGAAACACCUGAACCAUUCACCAGCAGGGGCUCUGGUGAGGACUGGAUUCACAACUGCACUUCUGAGCAAGCAGAGAUGGGAAUGAGGAACAACAGGAGGGCAAAGGAUUCAGAAACAUUCAAGCAACUUUGAAAGACAACACAAAUCCAGUUGCAGGGGAGGAAGAGUCCACGGGACAAUGGGAAACGCCAAGACUUCCCAACCACCUGCCUGAACAGAUAUCUGCACUACCACCCCACAUCUUUCAGAACCCAUUACUCAUGUCUUCUUUAAAACCUUCCCUAGAUUAACCAUUUUCUUUUUAUCUCUCACCAAGUUCCAGUGCCUUCAUUCAGUAUUACCCACCAGAACUGUGAAAUACACACUAAUCCCCCCCACACAAGCAAAAAGACUCAGGAUAUGAAAUGCUACUUCAAGCUACACGUGAGGCUUACAUUUACUUUGUAUUUAAUCACAUAACACUGUGGUUGUAUAUUUCUUUCUGGUUUUUGUUUUGCUCCUACUUCUUUUCCUGCAACUGAAUUCAUUACAGAUUUCAUGGGGCUUCCCUCCCAGAAUUCUAAUACAGCAAAGACUGAAAAGUUGAAACCGUUUUAUACUUUACUAUUUUUAGAAGCAUAUUUUAAUUCUUAUGUGCAUAUUUUUGUAACUACAAGGACGAGGAAGUGGAGGAAAACAUACUUUCUGAUAUAUUUCAGCACAGCAAUAUUCAAAUCUAAUGCAGGGGGUGGAAAGAGAAAGGAGAGAGAAGGGAAUAAACUGUAACUGAAUAAACGAAUGUAAGGGAAAGGAGUAAAAGAAAUGGGAAUCAAAACACCAGGCAGUAAGCAUAGGAGGACAACAUAUAUUUACAAGGCAAAAGGGAAGGAGGAAAAGAUGAUGUAACACAUGGCAGAGAUGAUAGAUUUACAAAGUAUAAAAGUUUAAGAUGGUCACUUUUCAAGAAAGUAAAGGAUGAAUGGAGAAAAAUGUGAACUGGGAAACAGAACUAAAUUAAGACAGAGGUGGCCAGAGUGAAGGCUCACAACUAAGAUUAACAGAUACUUUUGUGCACUUCCAUAGCAGAUGUUCUGUCUCCCUAAAUUUAGACAAGACAAUGGGAUAAGUUCUUAUACUGAAUUGGCAGGGUACUUUAUUUUCAAUUAUGUGGUUUAAUAAUUAAAGUUGCCUUGGCUGGUACUGUAUGUCUGAAAGCUUCUACGACAUUCUGCUACCUUUGCUCUGGGUGCUGUGGUUACUGGAGAUACUGCUUAAGAUAAAACCAUUUUUUUUCUAC